GACGAACGCUGGCGGCGUGCCUAAUACAUGCAAGUAGAACGCUGAAGGAGGAGCUUGCUUCUCUGGAUGAGUUGCGAACGGGUGAGUAACGCGUAGGUAACCUGCCUGGUAGCGGGGGAUAACUAUUGGAAACGAUAGCUAAUACCGCAUAAGAGUAGAUGUUGCAUGACAUUUGCUUAAAAGGUGCAAUUGCAUCACUACCAGAUGGACCUGCGUUGUAUUAGCUAGUUGGUGGGGUAACGGCUUACCAAGGCGACGAUACAUAGCCGACCUGAGAGGGUGAUCGGCCAAACUGGGACUGAGACACGGCCCAGACUCCUACGGGAGGCAGCAGUAGGGAAUCUUCGGCAAUGGACGGAAGUCUGACCGAGCAACGCCGCGUGAGUGAAGAAGGUUUUCGGAUCGUAAAGCUCUGUUGUAAGAGAAGAACGAGUGUGAGAGUGGAAAGUUCACACUGUGACGGUAUCUUACCAGAAAGGGACGGCUAACUACGUG
rnacentral:rRNA from 1 species